AUGUCAUUAGCUGCUCAAAACUGGAGCAAAGUACCAAAGUUAGAGAAAGAGAAGUUGUGGGAUUCUGUCCAGGCAUUUUUCAACAUUGACGAGUCAUACAAAACAUGGGUGUUGAGAUCAAUAAGUAAAAAAUGGAAAGACUUCAAGGUUGUUUUAAAGAGGAAAUACUACAAAGCUGAUUUGUCACGAGCACGGAAUAUUCUUAAUGGUUGUGAUAAUAGAAUCCCAAUUGGACAGUGGGAGUGUCUAGUAAAACACUGGAGAACAGAGAAAGCUAAAGAAAAAUCUGAGAGAAACAAGGCUACUCGGGCAUUGCAACUCGAGGGAUGCAACAGGACCCACACCACUGGGUCAUGA
rnacentral:rRNA from 1 species